rnacentral:rRNA from 1 species
AUUGAACGCUGGCGGCAGGCCUAACACAUGCAAGUCGAACGAGUGGCGGACGGGUGAGUAAUGUCUGGGAAACUGCCCGAUGGAGGGGGAUAACUACUGGAAACGGUAGCUAAUACCGCAUACCAUCGGAUGUGCCCAGAUGGGAUUAGCUAGCAGGGGGGGUAACGGCUCACCUAGGCAACGAUCCCUAGCUGGACUGAGAGGAUGACCAGCCACACUGGAACUGAGAAACGGUCCAGACUCCUACGGGAGGCAGCAGUGGGGAAUAUUACACAAUGGGGGCAAGCCUGAUGCAGCAAUGCCGCGUGUAUGAAGAAGGCCUUAGGGUUGUAAAGUACUGUCAGCUGGGAGGCGUUACUCGCAGAAAAAGCACCGGCUAACUCCGUGCCAGCAGCCGCGGUAAUUC